rnacentral:rRNA from 1 species
CUACGGGGCGCAGCAGUGAGGAAUAUUGCACAAUGGGGGGAACCCUGAUGCAGCAACGCCGCGUGGAGGAUGACGCAUUUCGGUGUGUAAACUCCUUUUAUAUGUCAAGAAAAUGACGGUAGCAUAUGAAUAAGCACCGGCUAACUCCGUGCCAGCAGCCGCGGUAAUACGGAGGGUGCAAGCGUUAUUCGGAAUCACUGGGCGUAAAGGACGCGUAGGCGGGUUGGUAAGUCUGAUGUGAAAUCCUACAGCUUAACUGUAGAACUGCAUUGGAAACUACUAACCUAGAGUAUGGGAGGGGGAGAUGGAAUUAGUGGUGUAGGGGUAAAAUCCGUAGAUAUCACUAGGAAUACCGAAAGCGAAGGCGAUCUCCUGGAACAUUACUGACGCUAAGGCGUGAAAGCGUGGGGAGCAAACGGGAUUAGAUACCCUGGUAGUC